rnacentral:rRNA from 1 species
UACGUAGGCAGCGAGCGUUGUUCGGAGUUACUGGGCGUAAAGGGUGUGUAGGCGGUUGUUUAAGUUUGGUGUGAAAUCUCCCGGCUCAACUGGGAGGGUGCGCCGAAUACUGAAUGACUUGGAGUGCGGGAGAGGAGAGUGGAAUUCCCAGUGUAGCGGUGAAAUGCGUAGAUAUUGGGAGGAACACCAGUGGCGAAGGCGGCUCACUGGACCGGUUCUGACGCUGAGGCGCGAAAGCGUGGGGAGCAAACGGG